GUGGGGAAUUUUGGACAAUGGGCGAAAGCCUGAUCCAGCAAUGCCGCGUGCAGGAUGAAGGCCCUCGGGUUGUAAACUGCUUUUGUACGAAACGAAAAGCCUGGGGCUAAUAUCCCCGGGUCAUGACGGUACCGUAAGAAUAAGCACCGGCUAACUACGUGCCAGCAGCCGCGGUAAUACGUAGGGUGCAAGCGUUAAUCGGAAUUACUGGGCGUAAAGCGUGCGCAGGCGGUUUUGUAAGACAGUGGUGAAAUCCCCGGGCUCAACCUGGGAACUGCCAUUGUGACUGCAAGGCUAGAGUGCGGCAGAGGGGGAUGGAAUUCCGCGUGUAGCAGUGAAAUGCGUAGAUAUGCGGAGGAACACCGAUGGCGAAGGCAAUCCCCUGGGCCUGCACUGACGCUCAUGCACGAAAGCGUGGGGAGCAAACAGGAUUAGAAACCCGGGUAGUCC
rnacentral:rRNA from 1 species